CGCACCUUGCACUCCUUGGUAUUCCGAGGAGUAUGCCUGUUUGAGUGUCAUGUAAUCAUCAAUCUAACAUUGCUUUUGUGAUGUGCGAUUGGAAUUGGAGAUUGCUGGUCUUACCACUGGCUUCUCUUGAAUGCAUUAGUUGAAUCGACUUGCAACGCUACGUGUGGUGUGAUAAUAUCUUCACUGCAUAGUUGUAAUGAAAUUUGGCUUCUAACAGUCCUUCGUUGGACAAUACUUGACCAUUUGACCUCAAAUCAGGUAGGACUACCCGCUGAACUUAA
rnacentral:misc_RNA from 1 species